rnacentral:sRNA from 1 species
AUAUUGCAUUGCGAGAGGGGGUGAGAACCCCCGCCGGGGUUCGACAACAUGCGCAGCAUGCUGGACAGCGGAGCCUGCGACGCUGCCCGCAGGGUGAGCGAACCGAAUCCAUCCCCCUCUCACCGCCA